UACGUAGGGGGCGAGCGUUGUCCGGAUUUAUUGGGCGUAAAGAGCGUGUAGGCGGUUCGGUAAGUCUGUCGUGAAAUCCUGAGGCUCAACCUCGGGCGUGCGAUGGAUACUGCCGGGCUAGAGGAUGGUAGAGGCGAGUGGAAUUCCCGGUGUAGCGGUGAAAUGCGCAGAUAUCAGGAAGAACACCAAUGGCGAAAGCAGCUCUCUGGGACGGUACUGACGCUGAGACGCGAAAGCGUGGGGAGCGAACAGG
rnacentral:rRNA from 1 species